UUUACUUUUACUUGUUUUUAGUUUUUGGUAUAGGGUCGGUGGGGUCCCUCUCUCUUGGCUGGUUUUGAAUUUUAUUUUCUUGCUAAGUUCUAAGUUCUUCUAGACGAGAGGCGGCUGUUUAUAUUUUUAUUUUUUUUCUUUUCUUUACGUUUUUGUUUUCUUUAGAGAUAUAGGAGUGUCGGCGUAAGGCUGGGGGAUAUUCAUUCCUUUUUAGUUUCUUUUGGUUUUUAGUUUUGAGGAGACGGAACCCUCCCUCUCUCUCGUUGGGAGUUCUUUUUAUUUUUUUUCUUUGAUUAGUUUUGUUGAGACGCAGAGUGAAGGAUUUCAUUCAGCGGCAGCUUACUUCAUUUUUCUUUUUUGUAUUACUGCAGAACUGGGGGAGACGGCGUGGGCUGCUCUCAUUCGGUCAUUUUUAUUUUACUUGCUUUAAGUUUUGCUUUCCAGCUUGUUAUUUUUAUUCUUCGACUUUUAUUUUCAUACAGCAAUUUAAAAUAUUAAGGUUCAUCAUUUUUAGACAUUUUGUUAAUUUAAAAAUGAUAGGCUAGAACUUUAACUUGUGAUUCAAUGAGUAGCUCAUGACUGUUUGGAAUUAUAUUUUCUUCAAGAUUAUGGAAUUUUGAAUGAUUAACUUGAUAGAUUGUAUUUUACUAUAGGAAGGAUUAAAGUUCUAUGUUCUUGAACUUGAUUAGUCGUAGACAUGAAGGCACGAUUGAUGUUUGAACUUGUAACAAGACUUUGAUGGCUUUCUUUCACUUUUACACUUGAUAUAAAAUCUGUCAAGCACCUUGAUUAUAUUGAAAAAGUGUGCUUAUUGUUUAUUUAACCGAUCAUAAUCUCUUGGAAUGAGAAAAUGGUUGAGAGAAGAUGAACUUAGAGGUAAAACCAACUUCAAACUAGAAAUGGGCGAAAAUUGCAUCUCAAGUGUUUGUUUUAUUGCUUCUUGCAAGUUUAAUUCAACUUCUACAUUUUUUCCUUAAAUCUCUUUGUUCUGGAUAAUUUUAGAAAUAUAAAUUCAUAUUUAUUUUCAUCUCUCGUACUCAAUACCUCUUUUACAUAAAAAAAUGUCACAAAUACUUUGAUAACCCUUGGACUUAUCCUGGACUUAUCAUUGAUACAACUUGACACUUCUACACUUGGAAGCACAUUCGAGAACGAGUCAAUUUGUUUGAUCAUAUGUUAUUAAUAUAAAAUAUAUAUUAAUUACAUUUUAUGGCCUAAGAAAUUCUCAACACACUACAAUAGAAACAGCUUUUUACAUCCAAUUCUUUUUCAUCAUUAGAUAAAUUGUCGCAAUAAAUGAGUAUUUACGUCUUUAUUAAACGUACUGCAAAUAACCAUCAGAAAUGGUCAGAUUAGCCACACGCAUAGUGUGAAUUUUAUUUGCAUCGACCUACAUUUAGUUGCGUCAUAUUUUGUCAAUUACAAAAGAAAUUAAACCCAUCAAACCGUUAAGCGUCAAUUUUUGAUAGUCGCAAUAACCAAGCCAGUCUAUUCCGACGCAUCUUUAACUUUUAGUGUCCAAAUUAUUGAUGCAAAAGAAAAUCUAUAUAUGCAGCAUGUACACCCUUCUAUUUUUCCCCAAAUGUUGGUCGCACACUGCCUAUUGUCGUUGCAGGCUAUCGAGUGAAACUCCAAGAAGGGGAUUUCAACUUACCAAGCUUAGAGGAAGCCAUUUUUGUAGAUUCAAGUUAAGAACACAUGAAAAUUUCUCUUAUUCUGAGCCUCUAUUAAAUCUCACUUUCACUUACAACUCCAUUUAAGGUACGUAUUACCAACAUCAAUAUAACCCACAUCAAUGCUCACCUACAUUACUUGAGUAUUUGCAUCAUCUGUUCUAUAAUAGUUGGCCUCCUUGAAUUGUGUUAUUUCUAGUAAAGAGUUAAGAUUGUAAUUGUACUUAGGCAUCUACAUAAUUUAGUGAUUUUGAAAAUUGAACUUUUACUUGCAUGCCAUUUGUUUGAUUAAAGUCCCGUAUAGACAUGAAUGGACCAUUUGCAUAUUUUUGAGUUUUUGUUGGUUUUCUGGAUGCAUCCAAAAUGGAACUGAACUCAAGAGGAUGUGCUUUGAGACGGGAUCAACCUUUACUUAUAGUGUAUAAAUGUUCAUUCACCAAAGUGUGCUCAAUUGUCACAAGAUGGACAAAAGUUUGAUGAAUGUUAGAGAUCGGUUUAGGUCAACAGAAUAUGCUGAAGGGAUUAGACAUUUUCUCACAAUGGCUGGAGCUCACACUGAUAGAAACAACCGAGUGAGAUGUCCGUGUCGAAGAUGCCAUAAUUUCUUGUUUCUUUCUAUCAAUGAGGUUGAAGGAGAUUUAUUCAUUACAGGGAUGGAUCCAGCUUACACAGAAUGGAUAUUUCAUGGGGAGCAAGAAUCAAUGAAUUUUAAUGAAUACAUUCCAUAGCCAGGGGAAAAUCUUUACAAUGGUGAUGAUGGUUACAUUGAUGACAUCCAUGAGAUGUUGGGUGAUAUUCAUGCCGCUACCACCGUGGAUGUUGAUAAAGACAUGGAUACACAUACUGAUUUUCCUAACCAAGGCGCCCAGAACCAACCACUUUGGAAAAACUAUCGAAAGAUGCUCGGUGUCCAUUUUAUCCCAGUUGCACAACCUUUUCAAAACUAUCAUUCAUUGUGAAGUUGCUGCACAUCAAAACAAUAGGUGGCUACAGUGUAAAGUCAUUUGACAUGCUUAUUAAACUUUUGAAGACUACUUUUCCUGAUGCACUCUUGCCUAACUCAUUUAAUGAGGCACGGUCCUUAGAGCAGGGCUUGGGGUUUAAAUAUAUCAAAAUACAUGCAUAUCCAAAUGAUUGCUUA